UACGUAGGGUGCGAGCGUUGUCCGGAAUUAUUGGGCGUAAAGAGCUUGUAGGCGGUUUGUCGCGUCUGCUGUGAAAAUCCGGGGCUCAACCCCGGACUUGCAGUGGGUACGGGCAGACUAGAGUGUGGUAGGGGAGACUGGAAUUCCUGGUGUAGCGGUGAAAUGCGCAGAUAUCAGGAGGAACACCGAUGGCGGAAGGCAGGUC
rnacentral:rRNA from 1 species